GACGAACGCUGGCGACGUGCUUAACACAUGCAAGUCGAACGGAAAGGCCCUGCUUUUGUGGGGUGCUCGAGUGGCGAACGGGUGAGUAACACGUGAGUAACCUGCCCUUGACUUUGGGAUAACUUCAGGAAACUGGGGCUAAUACCGGAUAGGAGCUCCUGCUGCAUGGUGGGGGUUGGAAAGUUUCGGCGGUUGGGGAUGGACUCGCGGCUUAUCAGCUUGUUGGUGGGGUAGUGGCUUACCAAGGCUUGACGGGUAGCCGGCCUGAGAGGGUGACCGGCCACAUUGGGACUGAGAUACGGCCCAGACUCCUACGGGAGGCAGCAGUGGGGAAUAUUGCACAAUGGGCGGAAGCCUGAUGCAGCAACGCCGCGUGCGGGAUGACGGCCUUCGGGUUGUAAACCGCUUUCGCCUGUGACGAAGCGUGAGUGACGGUAAUGGGUAAAGAAGCACCGGCUAACUACGUGCCAGCAGCCGCGGUGAUACGUAGGGUGCGAGCGUUGUCCGGAUUUAUUGGGCGUAAAGGGCUCGUAGGUGGUUGAUCGCGUCGGAAGUGUAAUCUUGGGGCUUAACCCUGAGCGUGCUUUCGAUACGGGUUGACUUGAGGAAGGUAGGGGAGAAUGGAAUUCCUGGUGGAGCGGUGGAAUGCGCAGAUAUCAGGAGGAACACCAGUGGCGAAGGCGGUUCUCUGGGCCUUUCCUGACGCUGAGGAGCGAAAGCGUGGGGAGCGAACAGGCUUAGAUACCCUGGUAGUCCACGCUGUAAACGGUGGGUACUAGGUGUGGGGUCCAUUCCACGGGUUCCGCGCCGUAGCUAACGCUUUAAGUACCCCGCCUGGGGAGUACGGCCGCAAGGCUAAAACCCAAAGGAAUUGACGGGGCCCCGCACAAGCGGCGGAGCAUGCGGAUUAAUUCGAUGCAACGCGUAGAACCUUACCUGGGUUUGACAUGGAUCGGGAGUGCUCAGAGAUGGGUGUGCCUCUUUUGGGGUCGGUUCACAGGUGGUGCAUGGCUGUCGUCAGCUCGUGUCGUGAGAUGUUGGGUUAAGUCCCGCAACGAGCGCAACCCUUGUUCACUGUUGCCAGCACGUUAUGGUGGGGACUCAGUGGAGACCGCCGGGGUCAACUCGGAGGAAGGUGGGGAUGACGUCAAGUCAUCAUGCCCCUUAUGUCCAGGGCUUCACGCAUGCUACAAUGGCUGGUACAGAGAGUGGCGAGCCUGUGAGGGUGAGCGAAUCUCGGAAAGCCGGUCUCAGUUCGGAUUGGGGUCCGCAACUCGACCUCAUGAAGUCGGAGUCGCUAGUAAUCGCAGAUCAGCAACGCUGCGGUGAAUACGUUCCCGGG
rnacentral:rRNA from 1 species